rnacentral:rRNA from 1 species
CAUGGCUCAGGAUGAACGCUAGCGGCAGGCUUAAUACAUGCAAGUCGUGGGGCAGCGCAGUGUAGCAAUACAUGGGCGGCGACCGGCAAACGGGUGCGGAACACGUACACAACCUUCCUACAAGUGGGGAAUAGCCCAGAGAAAUUUGGAUUAAUACCCCGUAACAUAUAAAGAUGGCAUCAUUUUUAUAUUAUAGCUACGGCGCUUGUUGAUGGGUGUGCGGCUGAUCAGGUAGUUGGCGGGGUAAUGGCCCACCAAGCCUGCGAUCAGUAGCUGAUGUGAGAGCAUGAUCAGCCACACGGGCACUGAGACACGGGCCCGACUCCUACGGGAGGCAGCAGUAAGGAAUAUUGGACAAUGGGCGCAAGCCUGAUCCAGCCAUGCCGCGUGAAGGAUUAAGGUCCUCUGGAUUGUAAACUUCUUUAUAAGGGACGAAAAAGGGAAUUCUUUCUCACUUGACGGUACCUUAUGAAUAAGCACCGGCUAACUCCGUG